rnacentral:rRNA from 1 species
AUGAACGCUGGCGGCGUGCCUAAUACAUGCAAGUCGAGCGAACAGAUGAGGAGCUUGCUCCUCUGACGUUAGCGGCGGACGGGUGAGUAACACGUGGAUAACCUACCUAUAAGACUGGGAUAACUUCGGGAAACCGGAGCUAAUACCGGAUAAUAUAUUGAACCGCAUGGUUCAAUAGUGAAAGACGGUUUUGCUGUCACUUAUAGAUGGAUCCGCGCCGCAUUAGCUAGUUGGGAAGGUAACGGCUUACCAAGGCAACGAUGCGUAGCCGACCUGAGAGGGUGAUCGGCCACACUGGAACUGAGACACGGUCCAGACUCCUACGGGAGGCAGCAGUAGGGAAUCUUCCGCAAAGGGCGAAAGCCUGACGGAGCAACGCCGCGUGAGUGAUGAAGGUCUUCGGAUCGUAAAACUCUGUUAUUAGGGAAGAACAAAUGUGUAAGUAACUAUGCACGUCUUGACGGUACCUAAUCAGAAAGCCACGGCUAACUACGUG